GGCGGGUCCGCCCGCCGAUUGGACAACAUUCAAACCCUUUGCAGUUGCAAUCAGCGUCUGAAAAAACAUAAUAGUUACAACUUUCAACAACGGAUCUCUUGGUUCUGGCAUCGAUGAAGAACGCAGCGAAAUGCGAUAAGUAGUGUGAAUUGCAGAAUUCAGUGAAUCAUCGAAUCUUUGAACGCACAUUGCGCCCCUUGGUAUUCCAUGGGGCAUGCCUGUUCGAGCGUCAUUUGUACCUUCAAGCUCUGCUUGGUGUUGGGUGUUUGUCUCGCCUCUGCGUGUAGACUCGCCUUAAAACAAUUGGCAGCCGGCGUAUUGAUUUCGGAGCGCAGUACAUCUCGCGCUUUGCACUCACAACGACGACGUCCAAAAGUACAUUUUUACACUCUUGACCUCGGAUCAGGUAGGGAUACCCGCUGAACUUAAGCAUAUCAAUAAGCGGAGGAAAAGAAACCAACAGGGAUUGCCCUAGUAACGGCGAGUGAAGCGGCAACAGCUCAAAUUUGAAAUCUGGCGUCUUUGGCGUCCGAGUUGUAAUUUGCAGAGGGCGCUUUGGCAUUGGCAGCGGUCCAAGUUCCUUGGAACAGGACGUCACAGAGGGUGAGAAUCCCGUACGUGGUCGCUAGCCUUUACCGUGUAAAGCCCCUUCGACGAGUCGAGUUGUUUGGGAAUGCAGCUCUAAAUGGGAGGUAAAUUUCUUCUAAAGCUAAAUACUGGCCAGAGACCGAUAGCGCACAAGUAGAGUGAUCGAAAGAUGAAAAGCACUUUGGAAAGAGAGUUAAAAAGCACGUGAAAUUGUUGAAAGGGAAGCGCUUGCAGCCAGACUUGCCUGUAGUUGCUCAUCCGGGUUUUACC
rnacentral:rRNA from 1 species